GACGGAGGAUGCAAGUGUUAUCCGGAAUCACUGGGCGUAAAGCGUCUGUAGGUGGUUCAAUAAGUCAACUGUUAAAUCUUGAGGCUCAACUUCAAAAAUCGCAGUCGAAAACUAUUGGACUCGAGUAUAGUAGGGGUAAAGGGAAUUUCCAGUGGAGCGGUGAAAUGCGUAGAGAUCGGAAAGAACACCAACGGCGAAAGCACUCUGCUGGGCCGACACUGACACUGAGAGACGAAAGCUAGGGGAGCGAAUGGG
rnacentral:rRNA from 1 species